GAUGAAGAACGUAGCGAAAUGCGAUACGUAAUGUGAAUUGCAGAAUUCAGUGAAUCAUCGAAUCUUUGAACGCACAUUGCACUCUCUGGUAUUCCGGAGAGUAUGCUUGUUUGAGUAUCUGUAAACAUCUCAAAUCUCUCUUCAAUUGCUUCAAUUGGGUCGAGAGAAUUGGAUUUGAGCGAUCCCGACUCCUUCGUCAGAAAGAGGAGGGUCGCUUGAAAUGCAGGUGCAGCUGGACAUUCUUCUGAGCAAAAAGCAUAUCUAUUUAGUCCCGUCAAACGGAUUAUUACUUUUGCUUCAGCUAAUAUAAAGGUUGAAUGAACUACCAACGCUGAUUGCAGGAAAACAUGUUCGUUUAUUCGGACUUGUAACCUCGAUCUCAAAUCAAGUAAGACUACCCGCUGAACUUAAGCAUAUCAAUAAGCGGAGGA
rnacentral:misc_RNA from 1 species